CACCGCGGUUAUACGAGAGGCCCAAGUUGAUAAUCAACGGCGUAAAGAGUGGUUAAGGAAACACCCGCAACUAAAGCCGAACACCCUCAGAGCUGUUAUACGCACCCGAGGGCAUGAAGUACCACCACGAAAGUGGCUUUACUUUUCCUGAACCCACGAAAGCUAAGAUA
rnacentral:rRNA from 2 species